rnacentral:rRNA from 1 species
UACCAGCACCCCGAGUGGUCGGGACGAUUAUUGGGCCUAAAGCAUCCGUAGCCGGCCUUACAAGUCCUCCGUUAAAUCCAGCUGCUUAACAGAUGGGCUGCGGAGGAUACUAUAAGACUAGGGGGCAGGAGAGGCAAGCGGUACUCAGUGGGUAGGGGUAAAAUCCGUUGAUCCAUUGAAGACCACCAGUGGCGAAGGCGGCUUGCCAGAAUGCGCUCGACGGUGAGGGAUGAAAGCUGGGGGAGCAAACAGG